GACGAACGCUGGCGGCGUGCUUAACACAUGCAAGUCGAACGGAAAGGCCCUGCUUUUGUGGGGUGCUCGAGUGGCGAACGGGUGAGUAACACGUGAGUAACCUGCCCUUGACUUUGGGAUAACUUCAGGAAACUGGGGCUAAUACCGGAUAGGAGCUCCUGCUGCAUGGUGGGGGUUGGAAAGUUUCGGCGGUUGGGGAUGGACUCGCGGCUUAUCAGCUUGUUGGUGGGGUAGUGGCUUACCAAGGCUUUGACGGGUAGCCGGCCUGAGAGGGUGACCGGCCACAUUGGGACUGAGAUACGGCCCAGACUCCUACGGGAGGCAGCAGUGGGAAUAUUGCACAAUGGGCGGAAGCCUGAUGCAGCAACGCCGCGUGCGGGAUGACGGCCUUCGGGUUGUAAACCGCUUUCGCCUGUGACGAAGCGUGAGUGACGGUAAUGGGUAAAGAAGCACCGGCUAACUACAUG
rnacentral:rRNA from 1 species